AGGCAACCUGCCUUUCAGUUUGGGAUAACUUCCGGAAACGGAUGCUAAUACCGAAUACAUCAUCUUCCGGCAUCGGAGGAUGAGGAAAGACGGCGCAAGCUGUCACUGAGAGAUGGGCCUGCGGCGCAUUAGCUAGUUGGUGGGGUAACGGCUCACCAAGGCGACGAUGCGUAGCCGACCUGAGAGGGUGAACGGCCACACUGGGACUGAGACACGGCCCAGACUCCUACGGGAGGCAGCAGUAGGGAAUCUUCCACAAUGGGCGAAAGCCUGAUGGAGCAAUGCCGCGUGAGUGAUGAAGGUUUUCGGAUCGUAAAGCUCUGUUGCCAGGGAAGAACGUCCGGGUGAGUAACUGCACUCGGAGUGACGGUACCUGAGAAGAAAGCCCCGGCUAACUACGUGCCAGCAGCCGCGGUAAUACGUAGGGGGCAAGCGUUGUCCGGAAUUAUUGGGCGUAAAGCGCGUGCAGGCGGCUUGUUAAGUCGGAUGUUUAAGAUCGGGGCUCAACCCCGAUUCGCAUCCGAAACUGGCAAGCUUGAGUGUAGGAGAGGAAAGUGGAAUUCCACGU
rnacentral:rRNA from 1 species